rnacentral:rRNA from 1 species
CCCAGACUCCUACGGGAGGCAGCAGUGAGGAAUAUUGGUCAAUGGGCGGAAGCCUGAACCAGCCAAGUCGCGUGAGGGAAGAAGGCCCUGCGGGUCGCAGACCUCUUUGGACGGGGAGCAAGGCCGCCGACGUGUCGGCGGAAGGAGAGUACCCGUAGAACAAGCAUCGGCUAACUCCGUGCCAGCAGCCGCGGUAAUACGGAGGAUGCGAGCGUUAUCCGGAUUUACUGGGUGUAAAGGGAGCGUAGACGGCAGCGCAAGUCUGAAGUGAAAUCCCAUGGCUUAACCAUGGAACUGCUUUGGAAACUGUGCAGCUGGAGUGCAGGAGAGGUAAGCGGAAUUCCUAGUGUAGCGGUGAAAUGCGUAGAUAUUAGGAGGAACACCAGUGGCGAAGGCGGCUUACUGGACUGUAACUGACGUUGAGGCUCGAAAGCGUGGGGAGCAAACAGGAUUAGAUACCCUGGUACU